UCAUCAUAGUCACGUUUUAUUGGCAAAGAGUAAGAAAUUGAAAUAAUAGUAUAAAUUUAGAUCUUUUACUUUAAAAUUACGUGCGCUGGAAUUAGGUGGUGUGUUUGACGCUCUUUAAUGAUGCUAAUAACCAGUGUUUAUUAAAUUAACUACAUCUGAGUCGAAAACGUCGUGGCCUCGGAAUGGUUGCACGAAUAUUCAACAUAAAGAAGGCCUCAAUCACCUUAAAGCGUUUACCCAAUAUCAACGUAAAUGGCCUAGUUUCCAUUCCCAUCGGCAACCAAAUGUACAAGUUGCACUGGAAGCAUACUUGGGCUGGCCCAUUGAGCUCGCCAAUAGAUAACAUGACACCCGACGGGCGCGUGUGAGACCUGGCCACUCGCUACACUGGAGAUUAUGAAAAAGGAAAUAAUCCAAAAGGUUUCUGCGCGCAAGUCAAUCGAGCGCCUUUAAGAAAUCAACAUUUUUAGUGCUGUGCCGAUUUUCAGGGCUUUGGCGAAUCUAAAAUGUACAUCCCUCCAAAAUCGGAUGUAAUUUUAGCGAUAUUUUAUUAUUUACCAGAAACUAAGUAAUGUUUCAUUUUGUCUCUCAGCCACAUCUACCAGGCUUAUGGACUGUAAUAUAUUCAAUAUCGUCGGUACCUGGAAAUCUAAAAAUGUAAAGUUCAGACAAAUCUGGAUCGAGUUUGUCUAUUUUAAAGGCUUUUAUGAAUCCUUAAAGCCUAAUGUGAGCACAAAAACUGAGGUAAAGUUCUGCGAUUUUGUUUAUACAAAUUUCUAAGAAGGCAAACCCACCCGACUCAGCAGUUUUUCAUAAAAACAUGUUCCUAUUGACUACUUGGGUUUAACUAACAAAGUCUUAAAUUGUGAGCGGACGAAAAAACCGGCGCACAGAAAUUGAGCAAGCGAUCAAAAAGUGAGUGAGUGAGCGAUGAGCCACACUGUUGGGCAUACACACCCGCACAAACACGUGUAUGUGCAGAGAUGAGCCAAGCCCAGAGAUAAGCAGCACCUGUUUGUGUGUGUGUGUUCGCUGCUCACGCUCACGCGCUCUCGAUUCAUUUUGGCGCUGAUCGCUGAUUGGUCCAAUCAAUAAUUGCUGGCAAUCGUGUUCUCGCCUGGUCGUUUGCGGGCAUCAUUACUCUGAGUUAAUUUGGCCCCAUGAGUCAAUCGGGCAUGUUGGUAAACUGUGAGUGAUAGUCUAUUGAGCUCUUUUUUUAACUCGAACUGACUAAAACAUAAUAUAAUAUUAAUUAGCAGCCUGCAGUAGCUGUCAUAUCAUGUGCUUUCGCAAUUGAUGUCUUAUUAUGAUUGUCUUAUGGUUAUUUAGUGCUCACUCUUCUUUUAAUUUGUUUGCAUGUAAAUCGUUAGUAGUUAUCCCGAGCUUAAAAAGUGUAAUAUUUCUAAUUUCUUAUUUAGCCGAGAUACUAACAAAAAAAACCGAAGGGAUUAUAUUGUUUUCUAACGUCAUAUUUCCGAACGGCACAUUAAAAUUCAAAAUAAAUUUUUCAGUUUCUAUUUUUCAGCCAAAUUAGCCAUGGACAGCAUAUGAUCGCUAUUUAUGUUACCUAGUUGACCUAUAUAAUGUUGGUUAUUCCAUAUCAUGGGUAUAGUCAUAGCGUACCCAAAGGACCGAGCGCUCGCAAAAUGCCCAAGAAGUGCGUUGAAAAAUAUGUAUGCUUUUAUUUUACAGCAGCCCGCCCCUGCAUGGUUUCUAGUUGACUAACAUAUCUUUGGUUAUACCAUGCCAUCGAUAUAUCCUUGGGAACCUAAAGGAUCAGAUCCCUGCAAAAUGUGCAUUGAACUGGUCCAAAAACAUGUAUGCUUUUUAUUACAGGAGCCCUUUUACAUUAGCUGCAGCUGUUGUUUAACAGCCGCUUUACAUCACUCGUUUUACAUAAACGCUACUUAACAGUACUCAUUUUAAUUGAGUUACAUUUUUGCCCCUUAUGGCUAUGCAAUAAAAAUUUUUAUUCGAAGAAAUCGUCGAC
rnacentral:sRNA from 1 species